rnacentral:rRNA from 1 species
UACGGGGGGGGCAAGCGUUGUUCGGAAUUACUGGGCGGAAAGGGCGCGUAGGCGGCGCUCCAAGUUAGGCGUGAAAGCCCCGGGCUCAACCUGGGAAUAGCGCUUAAGACUGGGGUGCUCGAGUGCGGGAGAGGUGAGUGGAAUUCCCAGUGUAGAGGUGAAAUUCGUAGAUAUUGGGAAGAACACCAGUGGCGAAGGCGGCUCACUGGCCCGCAACUGACGCUGAGGCGCGAAAGCGUGGGGAGCAAACAGG